GUCCUUGUAGUGCAAUGGUUAGCACGUUAGACUUCUAAUCCAAAGGUGGUGGGUUCGAGUUCCCCCUAGGAUG